rnacentral:rRNA from 1 species
UCAGGACGAACGCUGGCGGCGUGCCUAAGCUUAUGCAAGUCGAACGCGAACGGCUCCUUCGGGAGCCUAGUAGAGUGGCAAACGGGUGAGUAACGCGUGGGUAACGUACCCUGAUCCUGGGAAUAACCCUCGGAAACGAGGGCUAAUACCGAAUGUGGCGAACGACCGGUUGGUCGCUCGCUAAAGGUGGCCUCUUCUAUGCUGCCGGGUUGGGAUCGGCCCGCGUCCCAUUAGCUAGUUGGUGAGGUAACGGCUCACCAAGGCCACGAUGGGUAGCCGGCCUGAGAGGGUGUACGGCCACACUGGCACUGAGACAAGGGCCAGUCCCCUAUGGGAGGCGCAGGCGGGAAUAGUUCACAAUGGGCGAAAGCCUGAUGACGCGACGCCGCGCGAGCGAAGAAGACCUUCGGGCUGUAAAGCUCUGUCAGGAGGGAAGAAGGCUCUACGGGUCAAUAGCCCGUGGGAUUGACGGUACCUCCAGAGGAAGCCCCGGCUAAAUACGUGCCAGCAGCCGCGGUAAUACGUAUGGGGCAAGCGUUGUCCGGAUUUACUGGGCGUAAAGGGCGCGUAGGCGGUUUGUUAAGUCGAAGGUGAAAUCCUCGGGCUCAACUCGAGAAUUGCCUUCGAUACUGGCAAACUAGAGUGGCGGAGAGGAAAGCGGAACUCUUGGUGUAACGGUGGAAUGUGUAGAUAUCAAGAGGAACACCGGUGGCGAAGGCGGCUUUCUGGACGCACACUGACGCUCAGGCGCGAAAGCGUGGGUAGCAAACAGGAUUAGAUACCCUGGUAGUCCACGCCAUAAACGAUGGGUACUAGGUGUCAGGGGUAUCGACCCCUCCGGUGCCGCAGUUAACGCACUAAGUACACCGACUGGGGAUUAUGGUCGCAAGGCU